rnacentral:rRNA from 1 species
AUUGAACGCUGGCGGCAGGCUUAACACAUGCAAGUCGAGCGGGGGAAGGUAGCUUGCUACCGGACCUAGCGGCGGACGGGUGAGUAAUGCUUAGGAAUCUGCCUAUUAGUGGGGGACAACAUCUCGAAAGGGAUGCUAAUACCGCAUACGUCCUACGAGAGAAAGCAGGGGAUCUUCGGACCUUGCGCUAAUAGAUGAGCCUAAGUCGGAUUAGCUAGUUGGUGGGGUAAAGGCCUACCAAGGCGACGAUCUGUAGCGGGUCUGAGAGGAUGAUCCGCCACACUGGGACUGAGACACGGCCCAGACUCCUACGGGAGGCAGCAGUGGGGAAUAUUGGACAAUGGGGGGAACCCUGAUCCAGCCAUGCCGCGUGUGUGAAGAAGGCCUUAUGGUUGUAAAGCACUUUAAGCGAAGAGGAGGCUACUCUAGUUAAUACCUAGGGAUAGUGGACGUUACUCGCAGAAUAAGCACCGGCUAACUCUGUGCUAGCCGCCGCGGUAA